rnacentral:rRNA from 1 species
GCGUUAUCCGGAUUUAUUGGGUUUAAAGGGUCCGUAGGCGGAUCCGUAAGUCAGUGGUGAAAUCUCACAGCUCAACUGUGAAACUGCCAUUGAUACUGCGGGUCUUGAGUAAGGUAGAAGUGGCUGGAAUAAGUAGUGUAGCGGUGAAAUGCAUAGAUAUUACUUAGAACACCAAUUGCGAAGGCAGGUCACUAUGUCUUAACUGACGCUGAUGGACGAAAGCGUG